AAGAAUUUAGGUUAUUAAGACCAUUUAUUUUCAAAGUAAAAAGAAAACAUAAGUUUAAUUCUUG
rnacentral:tRNA from 1 species